rnacentral:rRNA from 1 species
UACAGGGAGAGCAAGCGUUGUUCGGAUUUACUGGGCGUAAAGGGCGCGUAGGCGGCGUAACAAGUCACUUGUGAAAUCUCCGGGCUUAACCCGGAGCGGCCAAGUGAUACUGUUGUGCUAGAGUGCGGUAGGGGCUACUGGAAUUCUCGGUGUAGCGGUGAAAUGCGUAGAUAUCGAGAGGAACACCUGCGGCGAAGGCGGGUAGCUGGGCCGACACUGACGCUGAGGCGCGAAGGCCAGGGGAGCAAACGGG